rnacentral:lncRNA from 1 species
UGCUUUUCUUAUUUUUACAACAGACACCGGUAUUUCAAACGCACGAGUUAGUACUCCGAUCCUGCAACAAUGAAAUCGUUUAUUUUCGUCGGCAUCCUUACAGUCCUGACUGUCGUUCUUUCGGCACCAUCAACGCAAGGUGAACACUGCAAUUAUAAUGGACAGAUACAUCAAGUCAACACAAGCUUCCCGUCCUCUGAUGGCUGCAACAUAUGUUUUUGUCAAGGUCAAGAUGUGGUUGCCUGUACACUGAUUGGCUGCGUUAGCAUUGAAAUCUGCCACUACAACGGCCGAGUGUACUAUGUUAAUGACUCAUUCCCUUCUUAUG